rfam:Rattus norvegicus chromosome 15, whole genome shotgun sequence.
GGGGAUUUAGCUCAGUGGUAGAGCGCUUGCCUAGCAAGCACAAGGCCCUAGGUUCAGUCCUCA